UACCAGCUCUCCGAGUUGUAGGGAUGAUUAUUGGGCUUAAAGCGUCCGUAGCUGGCUUAGCAAGUCUCCUGUUAAAUUCAGCGACCUAAUCGUUGAGCCGCGGGAGAUACUACUAGGCUAGGAGGCGGGAGAGGUCGACGGCACUUUCGGGGUAGGGGUGAAAUCCUAUAAUCCCGGGAGGAUCACCAGUGGCGAAGGCUGUCGACUAGAACGCGCUCGACGGUGAGGGACGAAAGCUGGGGGAGCGAACCGGAUUAGAUACCCGGGUAGUCCCAGCUGUAAACUAUGCGGGCUAGGUGUUGGGGUGGCUACGGGCCACUUCAGUGCCGCAGGAAAGCCAUUAAGCCCGCCGCCUGGGGAGUACGGCCGCAAGGCUGAAACUUAAAGGAAUUGGCGGGGGAGCACCACAAGGCGUGAAGCUUGCGGUUC
rnacentral:rRNA from 1 species